rnacentral:lncRNA from 1 species
GGCCGCGGACGACCAGCCGUAGCCCCGCCGGCGCGGCCGGGCCAUGUUCAGCCGGAGCUCGCGGAGGAGGCUGUGCGGCCGCCCGUUGGCUGGACUGGGGCGGAUAGAGAGAGGCCAGCCGUGUGGCGCCUGCGGUGACCAGUGCCCCGGGUUCGCCCUGCACAAAUGGAGAUUGUGUGGCCCAUGGGGCCUAAAAUAGUUCGUACCUGGCUCUCUACAGGGCACAUGUGCCCACCCCUGGUCCACACUGCCGUGCGAACAUGAAGUCGGCCCUCUUGGCUAGAAUAUAGGAGUCUGAGAGUCUUUUGGAGUCGGGGCUGGAAGAAACAUCCCUUCUGCACUGGACAAUAA